GUUAUAACAUUUUUAUUAAAUCAAUUUUUAUCCAAUAUUAACAUAACAUUACAUUUUUAAUGAAAAAUAACUAUUUGCCAAAACAAAAAAGAAUGGCAUCAUUCUACAUUUUUGCAAAUAUGUAUAGCGGGGCUCAUUAGGCAAUUGCCUGGACUCUCAUCCCAGUCCACUUCUAUUUAUUAGCUGGUUAGCAUUGCAGCAAUCAUCCUCAUUCUAAUGUAUCCAUUGUCCAUUGCUGAGAGAAAGAAAUGUAUGAACUCUACCUAAUGUUGGUGAGCAGUGUGCCUUAUAUGGUUUGGCUCUGUGUCCCCACCCAGAUCUCACCUUGAAUUGUAAUAAUCCCCACAUGUAAAGGGCAAGACCAGGUGGAAGUAAUCGGAUCAUGGGGGCAGUUUCCCCCAUGCUGUUCUCGUGAUGAGUGACUCUCACGGCUCAAGCAGAGUCUUCCUCCUGGUGUUCCAGAAGGAGUUCAAGGUCCUGCUCCAUAUGGGACAGCUAGAUUCUGAGGGCAAUGUUGAGAUCCUCAUCUCCAGAAGGUGCUGGUGCCAGAAAUAUGACAAAAGGCUGAUUGACGGGCCAGGCGCGGUGGCUCACGCCUGUAUUCCCAGCACUUUGGGAGGCCAAGGCGGGUGGAUCAUGAGGUCAAGAGUUCGAGACCAUCCUGGCCAAUAUGGUGAAACCCUGUCUCUACUAAAAAUACAAAAAAUUAGCUGGGCGUGGUGGCACGCAUCUGUAGUCCCAACUACUUGGGAGGCUGAGGCAGGAGAAUUGGUACUUUUAGUUUCACCGCCACAUUGGCCAGGCUGGUCUCAAACUCCUGACCUCAAGUGAUCCCCCCACCUCGGCCUCCCAAAAUGCUGGGAUUACAGGCGUGAGCCAUGGCGCCUGGCCAGAAUGCCUUCUCAUGUCCUUUGCCUAUAUUUCUAUUGAUGUGUUUCUUUUUCUUACUAGUCUACAACAACUUUUUAUUUUUUUAUUUUUAGAGACAGGGUCUCGCUACAUUGCCCAGGCUGGUCUUGAACUCCUGGCCUCAAACAAUUCUCCUGCCUUGGCCUCCCAGAAUGCUGGGAUUACAGGCAUGAGCCACUGUAGUCUAGCCCUAGCUCUUUAUUUUUAAUUUCAGUUUUCAUUUGGUUUUACUUUUAUUUAUAGUACUUUUUCAGUAUCACAAAUGUUGAUGUUUUUAUGGGACUAAAUCCAUUCAACUUUUUCAUUAUGAAUUUUUGAAGAGAUGUGGUGUCGCUGUCACCCAGGCUGGAGUGCAGUGGCGAACAUGGCUCACUGCAGCCUUGACCUCUUAGGCUCGAGCAAUCCUCCUGCCUCAGUCCCCCAAGUAACUUGGACUAUAGGCACCCACCACCACACCCAGCUAAUGUUUAUAUUUUUCGUAGAGACAGAGUUUUGCUGUGUUGCCAGGCUGAUCAACUCCUGAGCUUAUGCAAUCCACUCACCUCGGCCUCCCAAAGUGCCAGGAUUACAGGCGUGAGCCACCUUGCCCGGCCAAGAUGAGGUAUUAUUACAUCAUUAUUGUAAGGUACUGUUGGGCCCUCUUUCUAUUUUGUUAUUUUGUAUGUGAUCAUCAUUGUUUGUUUCUUAUUCCAUUGGCUUUUGCUUUAAUCUUUUAUUUCCUUAGGUGUUUUGUUAUAUAGAGACAGGGUCUCAGUGUUGCCCAGGCUAGUCUCAAGUGAUCCAUGCAAGUCUCAACUCCCGACCUCAAGUGAUCCUCCUUCCCAGGCCUCCCAAAGUGCUGGGAUUACAAGUGUAAGCACCCGGCCCUUAGUUUUUGUUUCUUUAGGAUCAUUCUGUUUUCUUUAAUUUUUGGAGUUGAAGCUUUACCUCACUGGUUUUCAUUCUUUUUUUUUUUUUUUUGGAGACAGAGUCUCUCUCUGUCGCCCAGGCUGGAGUGCAGUGGCGCGAUCUUGGCUCACUGCAACCUCUGCCCCCCAGGUUCAAAUUUUUGUAUUUUUAGUAGGGAAAGGGUUUCAUCGUGUUGGCCAGGCUGGUCUUGAACUCCUGACCUCAGGUGAUCCUCCCGCCUCCGCCUCCCACAGUGCUGGGAUUACAGGAGUGACCACCGUGCCUGGCACCAUUCUUUCCUCUUUGAUAACUGCAGUAUUUUCCCACUCCACCCUUCAUCCUCUCCAGCACAUUGAAACCACCUUUGCAAAGAUUAUGACACCGAGAGAAGUCUAGCAUGGCUGACCCCAUCUUGCUUCUAGCCUCACUCAUUCCUGGGCAUAGGCCAAACUAACCUUGGGAGGAGUUUAAUUUCUAGUUUAACUUUAAGGCAAGGAUGAUAAUCGUUCCUCUCUAAAACGGAUCCCCUCCUUGUUCAGGAACUGAAACAGCCUUUGUAAGACUAAUGAAAACCCACAAUAUUAGGAUUAUGAGAGGGCCUGACUUCUGCCAAAAUGUAGGCAUAGUUUUUGUAAUCCCUUACUGAAUUGGAUUUCCCUGUGCAGCAGGCAAGAAGAAUCUGUUGGAUGAUUACAACAUUGCUGGAUUGAUAGCAGCCUCACCUGCCAGGCUCAAACUCCAG
rnacentral:lncRNA from 1 species